AUGCAAAGAACUUUGGAAAGAGAGUUAAAGAGUACCUGAAAUUGCUGAAAGGGAAGCGAAGAAAACUAGUGUUGUGCUUAGUGAUAAUUCCUUUAUUGUUUACAAUAUUGGCGCUGUUGCUAGGUGAAGGACAUUGCCCGUUCAACCUGUGGACAGUGAAUGUAGAGGUGGUAGCCUGUCUGAGGUGUUAACCUCUACUUCCAUCUCACGACCUGAAUGGUGGCAGACACGUUGUGUUUAUGUCAAAAUAGUUUUCUUCUCCCCGUCUUGAAACACGGACCAAGGAGUUUAACAUUUAUGCGAGUAUGACGGUGAGAAACCUUUGUGCGCAAUAAAAGUAACAGUGGUUGAACCUUCUGGGGCACAAUCCGUUGGCCACUGCCAUCUUGGCUAAGGUCUGAGUGUGAGCAUAAAUGUUGAGACCCGAAAGAUGGUGAACUAUGCCUGAAUAGGGUGAAGCCAGGGGAAACUCUGGUGGAGGCUCGUAGCGAUUCUGACGUGCAAAUCGAUCGUCAUAUUUGGGUAUAGGGGCGAAAGACUAAUCGAACCAUCUAGUAGCUGGUUCCCUCCGAAAUUUCCCUUAGGAUAGCUGCAAUCAACUUCAAUUAUAUCA
rnacentral:rRNA from 1 species